ACUCUUGGAUUUAGGAAGAUUGGUGUUUACACAUAAUUUGGAUAACAUCUUUUGUAUUUGAAAUCAGAAAAUUCAACUUUAAGGACAGCGAGUACAGAGAAACAGAACUAAAGGAUACACAGAUAUGUAACACAACAACCUAUAGAGGACAGAGAAAAUUUUGUUUUAUUAUUAAAUCAUACUUUUUUAAA